GGGGUCAUAGCUCAGUUGGUAGAGCGCUUGAAUGGCAUUCAAGAGGUCCGGGGUUCGACUCCCCGUGGCUCCA
rnacentral:tRNA from 1 species